UACGUAGGCAGCGAGCGUUGUUCGGAGUUACUGGGCGUAAAGCGCGCGCAGGCGGUUCAGCAAGUCUGAUGUGAAAUCUCCACAGCUCACCUGGGAGACGCCAUUGGAAACUGCUGAACUUGAGGUCCGGAGAGGUCGGCGGAAUUCCCGGUGUAGCGGUGGAAUGCGUAGAUAUCGGGAAGAACACCAGUGGCGAAGGCGGCCGGCUGGACGGCACCUGACGCUGAGGCGCGAAAGUGUGGGGAGCAAACGGG
rnacentral:rRNA from 1 species